rnacentral:ncRNA from 2 species
AAUUGAACAAAAACAGCAGGUGUCAGAUAAAACGGAUGUUUUGAUCUGGUGAAAAGGGAAACAGGUGUGAAUCCUGUACGAACUCGUCACUGUAUUUAGGGAGCGCAUGCCGCAGACGUCACUGGGAGACCGGGAAGACAGGCAUUGUGUGUGGAUCUAUGAGCCAGGAGACCUGCCUGCUGUGGUGUACAGGG